GUUUUUCCUUUUAUUACUUUCCAUAUCAUCUAGAAACUUUAGUCUUUAGUCCAUUGUUUAGGUGUUGCACCUGAAUAGAACAGCACUGAUUACUCCAAGGAGUGUGUUUUCUGAGUUUCUUUCUCAGUAAAGCACUGUUGGGCUGGUUAUUGGCUGAGGCUCUACUGCAGAGACUGGUUUCUGAGUUCGUACUGAUGUCUUGUGGAAUGGAGGGCUCCCAUACUUCAUUCUGUCUUCAGGAAACUCCUGAAUCUACAGAUAAAGGUAGCAUUCCUUCUCUAUAGCUGCUUGCUGAAUCUCUGCUGGAGAGAACUGCCACAGGAGCCCAGCUCCUACUGGCAGAUGAAUCUUCCUGCACUGGCCUUUGCCACGUUGAAAGCUUGUUUCUUUGUCUCUGCAGGCAUGUACAUGUGCUGGGAUAUGAUACAACAGCUGUUUUUGAGGGGACAGAUCUACCCUAUCUGUGGAAACCAAGGAAGGAUUGGUGUAUAUGGAUUAUGGCCAGGAAAGAAACAGGAUCCAGAACUGGUGUUUUAGAAGACAUAUAGAAGGACAAGCAUAUGGAUAAAUGCCACAGAAAUAUCUUCAAAAUAAUCCAGAAGCAAAACUCUUAUUGAAAAUGGGAGAUGUUAAGUACUGAUAACCUGUCCACAGUGAAUAGAAGAUGACCAGGAGUGGAAGAUCUCCCCGACUUUGAGUUCUCCUCCCAUCACCAGGAUGCUGCUGACCUGCUCUCUGCUCUGCACUCAACUCAGUGGUGGGACUUCCAGAGGCUGCCUUCACCAUUUCCUUCAAUUAUGUUCUCCAUAAAGCCCUACCUCAGCUCUCCCAGAGUCUCAGCUAUUCAAGUUACUCCAGGGGAACCUAUAACACAGAUGUAUGGGAACUGUUGAAUCACGGCCUGAACCUCUGAUUGACCACCUGAGGUAAGCACCGAGUCAGCCAUGGGAGCACAGGUGAAGGCAAUUUACCUGUGUGACUGGAAGGGGUGGAGCCUAGCUCCCUCCUAGACCCCAUUCAAGGGCUGACUACCACUGGGGAAGGAUCUUUCUCUGGAGAUUGUUCCUUUUGGAGUCUUUUUUGGCAAGCCCGGGGUGCAGCUGCUGAGGAUCUGGAUCCAGAAACGGAAGGGAAAAAGAAAUAGCUGAAGGAAAACAGUUUUCUUUUGAGAGCGUUCAGCAGAUUUUGCCACAAGUAAAACCAUCAGGAUGUGAGCUGAAACCUGUGUCAGUGUCCACAGUGUUUGAAUAGUCUGGUUUUAAUAGAAACAUGAAAACGCCAUAUGGAGCCAGACAACCAUUUCCUUCCUUCAGCGUGUUUGUCCAUGUUUAAGUGGAGCACAGCAACAUUUCUGUGACUUGCUUCUUGUUGGUGCAUUGGAGAGUUGAAGAAAUGGAGUAGCCUGGAUUGGUCCUUGAUAUGCAAUCACUUCAUGGAGUACUGUACACAGGACUAUGCACCAUUAGCCAAGCCUCCCAGUCAGCCAAAUGUGUGCCAGGGAAGGAAUUACGUCUUUUCAUUAGGAGGGUAACAGUAUGAAGGCAUUACAGGACACAGCGUUGAGUGCCACCAGUCUUGGAAUUGAACAGUCUGACAAAUGGUACAGCUGGGGACCAGACAUUCAGAGCAAUGCUUUCCUUCCAUCCUGGGAAACUACAGAUAUUUGCUUUGUUCCAGGUAUAUAUUGGACAUUUCUGAAUUUUAAGCACUGAACCAUUACUUAUUAGUUUAUCUUGCAAUCCUCUGUUUCAUGUCACAUAUCUGCUACAGAGAAUGUCAUUGAAAAGCUUAGACGCACUAUUCUGACUUAAAUUCCUGUUCUCUGGAGAGCAAGAUGUUGGUUUAUGAGCAGGAAUUGAGCAAUCCAAGCGCAUGAUGCUUGUAUUGCCAUAUUAAAUUGAAAGCAAGGAGCUGUAAGUAGGGCUGACAUUUCUGUCUGUCAGCCACACACAACAGAUAUGAACUGAGAGCAAACUGAAGGGAGGCAGAAAAGGGUGAAAAGGGCACCCUCCCAAAGCAGAAGGAAGCCAGAUGGAGUGACACCACAGAUAGAAAGAGAUUCAGUGUAUGGGACUGUGCAGUGGCUGUGUAGAAGGAAACAGAAAACGGAAGGAUCUGAGUAUGGAUGGAAAUGAGGAGAAAGAAAACAUAAUGAAGAGUAAUGGACAAGACAAAAAGAAAGAUUAUGCCUGAUACCAUGGAAGAGAUAUCCUGCUGUUGACAUCUGCUCAGCUCAGGAGGAGUCUCCCUCAGAAAGAUGUUGAAAUACUCUCAUUCAACACAUUUAAAAAUAGACUAAACAAACCCCAGUGAGCCAGACUCUCCUCCUCGUACACACACAGGGCCAUAACUCAUGCCUGCAGUUGUCCUUUGAAGCCUGGGAACCCUUGUAGAAUGAGAGGGGCUGAGCUGGAUGCAAGGCAGAAAUCUGGUCCUGGGUCCUGCACUGUCACAGAUAUGGAUCAGAUGAAUGACUGUCUCUUUUCAGGUCAGAAAUGCCAUACCAACACAUGGCUUCCUGCAAAGACAUGAACUCAAGGAAGGGACUUAAAGUACAGCAUGUGUCAAAGGGCUUUGCAGAAGCUGCAGGAGGGCUCCAUACAGCAAAACAGAGGAGCACUCACUUCCAUUCAAUCUCGGCAGAGCCCUGAUAAAUGCAUAAACAAACUUUUUUCCUUCUUACACAGUUCUGAGUGAUGACAGUAUCUCUACGAUCUUCAAGAGGAAGUAAUCAUUUGCUGAUAAACAUCUCCUCUCCAAAUGUACCUAGUAAAAAGACACAUUCUUUUGUAUAUAUUUAAUUACAGGAGAACAGAUUUUGUCCAAAUAAUUAGGUAAUUUAAACUAUGCAGUCUUUCCCAAAGAACUAUAUUUAACCUUCAUUUGAAUUUAAUUUCCACAUCACAGUGCCCCUUAAGCGGUUCUGUAAGUCAAAACAGUGAUCAAAUAUUUUUAAAAUGUCAAAUGUUGCUUAAUUGUGGAUAGCACUGAAUUUGUUUUAAGAGAUAACAGCUUUUGAUCUGCUGCUAUUUUUUGUCUGUCCUAUUGUCAUGUUUCUCUUCAUCAGAAGUUUCUGUCAACUGUUUAAUCCAUACAACACCCGACUUUCCAGACAGCUGAAGAUUUCAAAGAAGAAAUGUGGGGAACCCUUCAAAAGUUUCAUGAAGUAUUAAACAGGAUGUGGAUUAGUGUCUUGCUACUACAGACCCCAGCACUUGCAAGAGGAGGAAAAAAAAGCGUUUUAAAAAUUCAAGUAUUAUUAAGGGAUUAUAAUGUUUUUGCCUGAAUUAAGGGUAGUGCUGUAAAGAAUAAUUUUACAGCAUUAAUAUAAAUCAGCAGAACUUUAUUGGCUUUAAUACACCUAUUCUGAUUUGCACCACUCAUGAUCAGGCUCCUUAUAUCUAAAUGUAUCUUUUGCUCCAUGGAAGUAGAUCAUUUUUCUCCUGACUUGCUCUUUCCUAUUGUCUUGCCCCUGUAAAUUAUAUAUAUUAGGUUCAUAAGCAGUGUAGUGAAAGUAAACAGGAAGAGAGUCUCACAGUUUGAAUGAAUUAUAACAAAAACUACAGUAGGUCUGACCUACAUUAAGCUAGUUCAGUAGAACAAUCUACACACAAAGUGGCUUGUAUUUCAGGGUUGGCUCUAAGGUUGAUUCUCAGUUAAAAAAAAAAAAAAAAAGAAUGAUUCCAAAGAAUCACAAGUCUUAUCAGUCUCUUUGAAACAAACAAAAGCCAACAUACACUCCACAGCUCAGUUGUAAAAACAAUAGAGCAGGAAGACUUUCCUGUAACAGCAUCUCCCACUGGGCGAUAGCAGUUGAAAGUACUUACUAUGAUUAUGAUUAAUUUCAUUAGUGCUCAGUUCACUUUAAUACUUUUCUCCCUCUAUCUCUGAAUGCAGAUAAUUUUUCCCUGCAAGUAAAUCCAGGGUGACAGUUUAAUAGGCUCAGACAUGCUUAGAUCCGAAAUGAGACUGUAAUAUUAAUAUACUAUUGACCAGUUAUAGAUUAAGCAAACUGAGGGCACACUUAAGUAAAUGACUUCAGAGGGACAAGUUAAUGUGCUAAGUGGUUCACAGGCAAUGAUUAAAAAUAUUCUUCAUUUACUUGGAAAUUAAUAGGUUUCUUUAAUUAAUCUAAUAAAGCCACCCUGUGGUAUGUUACAUAUUUGGUGUAUGUUUUAAAAGAAGAUGCUGAGUUGCUGGAUCUGGAAAUCCCUGUUCUGCUUACUGAAGAAAGGAAACAGUCAUAUAUAAAAGCAGCCUUGCACAUGGCUAGAAUUUCCAACAAGCCAUCUUCUUUGCCACAAGUAGGAUUACAUUGCAUGACGGGUGUUAUGAAUCUCAAUGUUAAGCAAUCAACAGCACCAGCAAUUCCAUGUGUGAAUUGCAGAAUCAUCCAAGUAUCUUCAGGGAUUGUUAGUGUAUUUCACAACUGCAUCCAGUCAAAUGAGCACUUUUCUCCUCCAACAGUCUUUCAAAUCCAACUGGUCAACCAAUUGAAAGAAAACAACACAAUCUUUGCAACAACAGCAAUUUAUAUGCCGAGAAGUGCUAAAGCCUUGCAAAGGAUUACGGGGUAAGGAAAUGAUGAAAUCAUCUACAGGCAUUGCAUGAGUUUUAUUUAAUCAGAAGGUGCUCAGGUAGUAUGGUUAUCUGAAAUAUAAAUAGCCCAUCACCACCAGCUUUAUAAUGGAGAGAUGAGUUUAAAAGAUAGUGUCUCAUUAAUAGUCUUUCUGUGGUUUGUCUUGCAAGGGCACUGAGAGGCCUUGCCUGCUGAACAGUGUACAUGUAUCGGGAUGGGAUCAUACUGGCUCCCAGAGCCAGGGAUGAGAAGAGAUGUUUACCCAGCCCAACCGGAGUUCCUCCAGUGGACAGUGACACAAUUUGCAGAGUUAAGACAGGUCUACUCAACUGAGAGACUUCAUCAAAUCCUACUGUGAUUAUUUCUUCGGCAAAUCAAAACAGAGGCCUUGGUUAUUGUUCUGCCUCUUUGACCAGCAUCCUAUCAUGUGAUCACUCCCACUCUAAUGAAGUUUGAUCCGAGAGGGCUGCUACUGUGCUAUUCUGAAAAUCAGAAGCACUUUGAUAUGACCACUUCAAGGCCCAAAGAAACUACAAAAUGGGGACUAAAGUUUCCAUCUUCUCCAUCACCCCAUUUUUUUUCACCUUGCCCUAAUUACUGCAAAUAGGAUUCUUUCUCUUUGGUUUUACCAGAAGUUUUCUCAUCCAUAUAGUCCAACAGGAGAUGCUACUCUUGCUUCUCUUACCUAUUCCACAGCAAACCACAUGAACUAGACAUAGUGACUGUUUUCCCAGAACUCACUGGGGGGAAUCAUUACCAAAAAUGUCAGACUAUCACGUUUCUACUUCCCUGGCAGAAACUACUCUGUAUUUAGUGACCUGGCAGCCAUGAGGAGUGUCUGAUGGAGUACAGUACACAGUAGCUAUAAGAGUCAAAGAAGAGGAGGAGAAAAGGAUGUUUGACUUGGGACUCCAUGUUAAAAGCUCCUGCAGAACCAGUCCUUAGCUAUUGUUUACAGCUGGCUGUCUUGCCUCAGGAACAUUUGCAUUGAAAAACUUUCAGAGUUUUCUUUCCAAGUAAGCUGAGAAAAACAACUUGGAUUCAUUCCAUUUAUCAUGGAUGUGGAUGUAUGUGUGUGUGUUUUCAUGGUAGGUGGGAAAGGGAGGAGAUGGAAAUCCUUUCAACUUGCUGACACAUUCUCCAGUGGAUGGAAGUGGUGCUUGAAAUCCAUGGAGCCAGGUUGGGUUCCAACUGCCAAGAACCUGGUCUAGGCAGCUAUAAUGUUGUGCAGAGCUGUGGUUUGAAGAAACCUGAACAUGGCCAUACAGACAGAAAAGAUGAAAGAGGGAUUUGGUAGCCAGUCCUGUUUCUUUCAUGUGUGAAGGACAGCUGUGCAGCUGCAAGGAGUGAUGCUGGCAAACUCAUCGGAUAUGUACAUUUUCUCUCUUUUGUGGGUUGGAUCAUAACAAUUAACUUCUCUGAAUGUUUGUGGUGAGUCUAAUCUCAGGCGUGUCUGCUCCUUUGCAUUUGCAGCUGAGGGUGGCAAAUAAAAUGGCUAAGCAUUGCUGUGGGCUAUUUUGUCACCAAGCCUGGAAUGAGGCAUCCUGCGAGAGACCUGGAAAAACCAUGCUUCUGAAGUAGACCACAGGUAGACAGGGCUUGCUGCAGGCAAGCUUUGUGAAUUUGUCUUCCCUCUUGGAGAAAGAAGAAGAAAAAAGAGAAAAAACAGAGUAUCUUGUUUCCUUCAUGCCUGAAAUAAGCUGAAACGGGGAGCUUUGCAUUCCUGUGUUUACAAAUGUAGAGGUGAAAAGAGAUUUCAUUAAUGUCAGCUUGGUAGUGAUUCUUUAAGGCUUUUACCUCAAAUGGUCACCUCCUGGAUGCAUUGGGGGUGCGAGGCAUCACUUAAUUGCAGGAGACAUGGAAGUCCAUAAAUCAAUGGCAUGCAAAGGAUAGAUGAAGGGGAGGUAAAUCUUAAUGCAAGGAUGAGGGAAAAAAUGAUAAUGUGAAAACUGCAUUGAAUACCAUCUCUUAUUCUUUGUCAUCUCAUUCACCUCCCUGAAAAGCGAUGGUGGUGUAAUAGGUAAGAGGCGACACUUUGGGUUUUAUUCAGAGGUCUUCUACUAACUUGUGCUACUAACUUCAACACAUCUCUUUGCCUUGCAGCAUAUUUCCAUGGAAUUAGUAUCUCAGUGAGAUGGAGACCUGCCUUUUCAUUUAGAAAUUAAUCUAGCAUAAUUUCAAUUAUAGCUACUCUUAGUUGCAUUGCACAUCUUAGAAUAAAUAUUCUUCUUUAGAGUUAUCACACCAGUUGUGAUUGCCUUACAAAUGAAGUAUGCAGACAAUGAAAGAAUUCUCUGCAAUUUAUUUCUGGUGAUGAUUUGGCCCAGACCAUAAAAACCAUAACCCUUUUUCUAAUUUGGCCAGAAGGAUAAGAUGUUGCUUCUCUGCGUCCAUCUGACAUGGGAGGUGACUCAGUUCCUCACUAGCUCAGGAAUCCAGGCUUUACUAAUGCCUGGGAUUUGAUUAUGCUCACAUGGCUAGUUUCUGAGAGGAGCUGGUAAACUUCGUUUUGCUUCAGUUAUUAGUUUUUAAGGCUAUGAAAGGUCAAGAUAAACCAUCCAUAAAUGCGGCACCGAUUAAAACCUCACUUAGCUUAUUGCACAGUAUGUAAUUGUUCAUCCUAUGUCAAAUAAUAAAAUCUGAUGGAGAUAACUGCCUAGCAUUUCCUUUCAUUUAAAGGAACAGGCACGCACUGCAUGUACUGUUACCUACACGCACAUCAGUGAUGUUUCUUUUUAUAUGUAGCUGUGUAUUAAAUAAGGGAAUAUUUGAACAUGAAUGCUUUAGUGGACUAAAACUAACUUUUAACUUUUAACUGCUAACUUUUCCCGUAGAAAAAAAGGUUAGGUAUUCCUAACUCGUGAGGAGGAAAUAGAAGGAUGAAUGUAAUAUUAGUCUGUCUGAGAGUUAUGUCCUUAAAAGAUGGCUGAUGCCUUUGUGGCUUAUGGGUUCUCCUAUUUGUGCGUAAAGUUGAGAAAUGUCAUCCAAGCAUUUAGAGCUCCCAUUUUCCUAAGAGCUCAGCCUUCAAUUACCGCCAAAAAGUAGAAGCCAAUUUUCCAAAAAGCUCCAUAUACUGAGUGCUUCUGACAUAAUGUUGGCUUGAAAAUGUGCCUAUGAUAAUCAUGUUAGGAGCUAUGCUGAAUGGCUUCAGAAAAGCUGGGUGAGCCCUGAGCAUCCUGAGCUGUUAAAAGUCUGCCCCUGCCUUAUUCCUGUGAUAUUCCCUCUGCAGUAGUGUCACUACUUUAUGGAUCAUUGUCUCGCUUAUAACCCUUUGUACUUGCAGUAUGCUGCACUAUAUUUGCUAUCCAAAUGCCCUCUGGCAUUGCCAUUGCUGCCCCAGUUAAACAAGAAUCUGGCUUCCCCAGGCCUUGUAUCACUAUAUAGAUCAUCGCAGUCAUAAUAUCUCUCUGCCUUUUGUGUUUUUAGCAAGACUGUCUGCAAAUGCAGAAUCUAAACGCUGCCAAAAGAAAUCUGCCUCUUUUUGUUCCCCAGACUCCUGACUUAGUCUACCACUCUGCCAAAGCUAGUUACUAGUGUGGCAGCUGAUAAAUAAAGAACAGGCUGCCUCUCUCUCCGCACUGCAAGUACCCUGUAGCUGUUAAUGUAUCCCGUGCUGCUCUUUUUUAAUAAGCUGUCUGAAUAGCCAGCUGCUAAUGUGGCUGCGACAGUGUGCCCACCUUUUAAAAGUUCAUUCCUACUUCUUGCUUCAAAGCAGCUACAUCUGCUGACAGAAAAACACAGGACAGGGAACUAGGGAAAGAAGUCAAGAGAGAAACUGCUGCAUUUCCAAGGGGGCUCUUGGACAAACUUCUAAUCUUACUGAGGGCUGGGGCAGAACAAUAAAUGUCAAACCCCACUACAUGAUCCUAGGAAGACUUGCAGGGCAGGGGAGUUUCAGGGCUAAUAUGUGAUCUGGUUUGCUUUAAGCAAGUAUCCUUCUCAUGGUGUACCACCUUUUAUUCAGACUUCCCAUGAAGGAGUAUGCUUUACACCAUGUAUGUAAUGAUCUUUGGAGUAGUCAGGAGGAAGAGUCUUUCUAGAGUCUCUCUCAAACCUAGCAAACCAGAAGAUCUCUACCUACGUAGCUUGGAAACUUACAUACCCUAAAAGAGUGUGAAUGUCCUUGCAAAAUCUUUUAUAGUAA
rnacentral:lncRNA from 1 species